rnacentral:rRNA from 1 species
ACUGCUCAGUAACACGUGGACAACCUGCCCUUAGGUUGGGUAUAAACCCGGGAAACUGGGUAUAAUACCCGAUAGGUCUCGAUUGCUGGAAUGCAUCGAGAUUUAAAGCUCCGGCGCCUAAGGAUGGGUCUGCGGCCUAUCAGGUAGUAGUGGGUGUAGCGUACCUACUAGCCUACGACGGGUACGGGUUGUGAGAGCAAGAGCCCGGAGAUGGAUUCUGAGACACGAAUCCAGGCCCUACGGGGUGCAGCAGGCGCGAAAACUUUACAAUGCUGGCAACAGCGAUAAGGGAACCUCGAGUGCCAGGUUACAAAUCUGGCUGUCGAGAUGCCUAAAAAGCAUUUCAUAGCAAGGGCCGGGCAAGACCGGUGCCAGCCGCCGCGGUAACACCGGCGGCUCGAGUGGUAACCGUUAUUAUUGGGUCUAAGGGGUCUGUAGCCGGCCGGAUAAGUCUCUUGAGAAAUCUGGCAGCUUAACUGUCAGGCUUUCAGGAGAUACUGUCUGGCUCGAGGCCGGGAGAGGUGAGAGGUACUUCAGGGGUAGGGGUGAAAUCUUGUAAUCCUUGAAGGACCACCAGUGGCGAAGGCGUCUCACCAGAACGGACCUGACGGCAAGGGACGAAAGCUAGGGGCACGAACCGGAUUAGAUACCCGGGUAGUCCUAGCCGUAAACGAUACUCGCUAGGUGUCGGCCACGGUGCGACCGUUGUCGGUGCCGUAGGGAAGCCGUGAAGCGAGCCACCUGGGAAGUACGGCCGCAAGGCUGAAACUUAAAGGAAUUGGCGGGGGAGCAC